GUUUUUUAUUUAGCUGUUUCAUCAUCAUCAUUAGUCACUUCAGAUAUCAAUGAAGUAUCAACUCUAAGGCAGCAGAUUGGUAAGCAAAAAUAUAUCAUAUGUUUUUAUCUCCCCAAAGCUUGGUAGGCUGUUACAGUUAAGGAUGCUACUUUAACACUGGUUGCAACCCUUUCUAAACUUAAAAUUAAAAUUUUAAAACAAAAACAUUGUAAAAAAAGGCCGCUGUGCUAAGAAACAAGUUAAGUGCGGUACUACCAGGUACAUUUGACCUUAUAACUAUACCACUAUACACAAUAACCAUGUAAAGUAAUUAUAUUUAACAAUAAAUAAAAUAAUGUACUUACCAAAAUAUAAAAUUAUAUAUUUACCAAUGUAUAUUUUAUGAUGAAUAUUCUAAAAUAUAUCAUUUAAGAUAUAUUUAAGGAAUUAUAUAAAAUUUUCAAACUUUUUUUGUUCUUUUGCAAAAGCGAGUUGGUAAGUUGUACAUACUAUUUCCAUAUUUUUAAAGGAUAACAUUUUUUUUAUUUUACUUAAUAUUUUUAACAUUUUUAUAUAUUGCUUUGUUACACAUGUUGGGAAAAAAAAAUGUACAGGAGUCGCAGGACCGGGGAAAUAAUAAAAAAUUUUCAUGUCUACAAUUGAAAUAUUAGUAGACAUGAAAGUUUUUAUAAAUGU